rnacentral:piRNA from 1 species
UGGCUAAAACAAUAAAAACUACUGUGAG